UACGUAGGGGGCUAGCGUUGUCCGGAAUCAUUGGGCGUAAAGAGCGUGUAGGCGGCUUGUUAAGUCUUGCGUGAAAUCUCGGGGCUCAACCCCGAGCGGUCGUGAGAAACUGGCAGGCUAGAGUGCGGGAGAGGAGAGUGGAAUUCCUGGUGUAGCGGUGAAAUGCGCAGAUAUCAGGAAGAACACCCGUGGCGAAGGCGGCUGACUGGUCCGGUUCUGACGCUGAGGCGCGAAAGCGUGGGGAGCAAACAGG
rnacentral:rRNA from 1 species